rnacentral:rRNA from 1 species
AGCGUACACGGUGGAUGCCCUGGCAGUCAGAGGCGAUGAAGGACGUGCUAAUCUGCGAUAAGCGUCGGUAAGGUGAUAUGAACCGUUAUAACCGGCGAUUUCCGAAUGGGGAAACCCAGUGUGUUUCGACACACUAUCAUUAACUGAAUCCAUAGGUUAAUGAGGCGAACCGGGGGAACUGAAACAUCUAAGUACCCCGAGGAAAAGAAAUCAACCGAGAUUCCCCCAGUAGCGGCGAGCGAACGGGGAGGAGCCCAGAGCCUGAAUCAGUGUGUGUGUUAGUGGAAGCGUCUGGAAAGGCGCGCGAUACAGGGUGACAGCCCCGUACACAAAAAUGCACAUGCUGUGAGCUCGAUGAGUAGGGCGGGACACGUGGUAUCCUGUCUGAAUAUGGGGGGACCAUCCUCCAAGGCUAAAUACUCCUGACUGACCGAUAGUGAACCAGUACCGUGAGGGAAAGGCGAAAAGAACCCCGGCGAGGGGAGUGAAAAAGAACCUGAAACCGUGUACGUACAAGCAGUGGGAGCCUCUUUUAUGGGGUGACUGCGUACCUUUUGUAUAAUGGGUCAGCGACUUAUAUUCUGUAGCAAGGUUAACCGAAUAGGGGAGCCGAAGGGAAACCGAGUCUUAACUGGGCGUUAAGUUGCAGGGUAUAGACCCGAAACCCGGUGAUCUAGCCAUGGGCAGGUUGAAGGUUGGGUAACACUAACUGGAGGACCGAACCGACUAAUGUUGAAAAAUUAGCGGAUGACUUGUGGCUGGGGGUGAAAGGCCAAUCAAACCGGGAGAUAGCUGGUUCUCCCCGAAAGCUAUUUAGGUAGCGCCUCGUGAAUUCAUCUCCGGGGGUAGAGCACUGUUUCGGCAAGGGGGUCAUCCCGACUUACCAACCCGAUGCAAACUGCGAAUACCGGAGAAUGUUAUCACGGGAGACACACGGCGGGUGCUAACGUCCGUCGUGAAGAGGGAAACAACCCAGACCGCCAGCUAAGGUCCCAAAGUCAUGGUUAAGUGGGAAACGAUGUGGGAAGGCCCAGACAGCCAGGAUGUUGGCUUAGAAGCAGCCAUCAUUUAAAGAAAGCGUAAUAGCUCACUGGUCGAGUCGGCCUGCGCGGAAGAUGUAACGGGGCUAAACCAUGCACCGAAGCUGCGGCAGCGACACUAUGUGUUGUUGGGUAGGGGAGCGUUCUGUAAGCCUGUGAAGGUGUACUGUGAGGUAUGCUGGAGGUAUCAGAAGUGCGAAUGCUGACAUAAGUAACGAUAAAGCGGGUGAAAAGCCCGCUCGCCGGAAGACCAAGGGUUCCUGUCCAACGUUAAUCGGGGCAGGGUGAGUCGACCCCUAAGGCGAGGCCGAAAGGCGUAGUCGAUGGGAAACAGGUUAAUAUUCCUGUACUUGGUGUUACUGCGAAGGGGGGACGGAGAAGGCUAUGUUGGCCGGGCGACGGUUGUCCCGGUUUAAGCGUGUAGGCUGGUUUUCCAGGCAAAUCCGGAAAAUCAAGGCUGAGGCGUGAUGACGAGGCACUACGGUGCUGAAGCAACAAAUGCCCUGCUUCCAGGAAAAGCCUCUAAGCAUCAGGUAACAUCAAAUCGUACCCCAAACCGACACAGGUGGUCAGGUAGAGAAUACCAAGGCGCUUGAGAGAACUCGGGUGAAGGAACUAGGCAAAAUGGUGCCGUAACUUCGGGAGAAGGCACGCUGAUAUGUAGGUGAAGCGACUUGCUCGUGGAGCUGAAAUCAGUCGAAGAUACCAGCUGGCUGCAACUGUUUAUUAAAAACACAGCACUGUGCAAACACGAAAGUGGACGUAUACGGUGUGACGCCUGCCCGGUGCCGGAAGGUUAAUUGAUGGGGUCAGCGCAAGCGAAGCUCUUGAUCGAAGCCCCGGUAAACGGCGGCCGUAACUAUAACGGUCCUAAGGUAGCGAAAUUCCUUGUCGGGUAAGUUCCGACCUGCACGAAUGGCGUAAUGAUGGCCAGGCUGUCUCCACCCGAGACUCAGUGAAAUUGAACUCGCUGUGAAGAUGCAGUGUACCCGCGGCAAGACGGAAAGACCCCGUGAACCUUUACUAUAGCUUGACACUGAACAUUGAGCCUUGAUGUGUAGGAUAGGUGGGAGGCUUUGAAGUGUGGACGCCAGUCUGCAUGGAGCCGACCUUGAAAUACCACCCUUUAAUGUUUGAUGUUCUAACGUUGACCCGUGAUCCGGGUUGCGGACAGUGUCUGGUGGGUAGUUUGACUGGGGCGGUCUCCUCCUAAAGAGUAACGGAGGAGCACGAAGGUUGGCUAAUCCUGGUCGGACAUCAGGAGGUUAGUGCAAUGGCAUAAGCCAGCUUGACUGCGAGCGUGACGGCGCGAGCAGGUGCGAAAGCAGGUCAUAGUGAUCCGGUGGUUCUGAAUGGAAGGGCCAUCGCUCAACGGAUAAAAGGUACUCCGGGGAUAACAGGCUGAUACCGCCCAAGAGUUCAUAUCGACGGCGGUGUUUGGCACCUCGAUGUCGGCUCAUCACAUCCUGGGGCUGAAGUAGGUCCCAAGGGUAUGGCUGUUCGCCAUUUAAAGUGGUACGCGAGCUGGGUUUAGAACGUCGUGAGACAGUUCGGUCCCUAUCUGCCGUGGGCGCUGGAGAACUGAGGGGGGCUGCUCCUAGUACGAGAGGACCGGAGUGGACGCAUCACUGGUGUUCGGGUUGUCAUGCCAAUGGCACUGCCCGGUAGCUAAAUGCGGAAGAGAUAAGUGCUGAAAGCAUCUAAGCACGAAACUUGCCCCGAGAUGAGUUCUCCCUGACUCCUUGA